rnacentral:rRNA from 1 species
AGAGUUUGAUCCUGGCUCAGGAUGAACGCUAGCUACAGGCUUAACACAUGCAAGUCGAGGGGCAGCAUGAACUUAGCUUGCUAAGUUUGAUGGCGACCGGCGCACGGGUGAGUAACACGUAUCCAACCUGCCGAUGACUCGGGGAUAGCCUUUCGAAAGAAAGAUUAAUACCCGAUGGCAUAGUUCUUCCGCAUGGUAGAACUAUUAAAGAAUUUCGGUCAUCGAUGGGGAUGCGUUCCAUUAGGUUGUUGGCGGGGUAACGGCCCACCAAGCCUUCGAUGGAUAGGGGUUCUGAGAGGAAGGUCCCCCACAUUGGAACUGAGACACGGUCCAAACUCCUACGGGAGGCAGCAGUGAGGAAUAUUGGUCAAUGGACGAGAGUCUGAACCAGCCAAGUAGCGUGAAGGAUGACUGCCCUAUGGGUUGUAAACUUCUUUUAUACGGGAAUAAAGUGAGCCACGUGUGGCUUUUUGUAUGUACCGUAUGAAUAAGGAUCGGCUAACUCCGUGCCAGCAGCCGCGGUAAUACGGAGGAUCCGAGCGUUAUCCGGAUUUAUUGGGUUUAAAGGGAGCGUAGGCGGACGCUUAAGUCAGUUGUGAAAGUUUGCGGCUCAACCGUAAAAUUGCAGUUGAUACUGGGUGUCUUGAGUACAGUAGAGGCAGGCGGAAUUCGUGGUGUAGCGGUGAAAUGCUUAGAUAUCACGAAGAACUCCGAUUGCGAAGGCAGCUUACUGGAUUGUAACUGACGCUGAUGCUCGAAAGUGUGGGUAUCAAACAGGAUUAGAUACCCUGGUAGUCCACACAGUAAACGAUGAAUACUCGCUGUUUGCGAUAUACAGUAAGCGGCCAAGCGAAAGCGUUAAGUAUUCCACCUGGGGAGUACGCCGGCAACGGUGAAACUCAAAGGAAUUGACGGGGGCCC